rfam:Schistosoma curassoni strain Dakar, Senegal genome assembly, scaffold: SCTD_scaffold0000571
AUCCAGCUGACGGGUUUGAAAUAAAACGAAACGUGUUUCCUGGAU